rnacentral:rRNA from 1 species
UCCGUAGGUGAACCUGCGGAGGGAUCAUUACCGAGUUUACAACUCCCAAACCCAAUGUGAACGUUACCAAACUGUUGCCUCGGCGGGAUCUCUGCCCCGGGUGCGUCGCAGCCCCGGACCAAGGCGCCCGCCGGAGGACCAACCAAAACUCUUUUUGUAUACCCCCUCGCGGGUUUUUUAUAAUCUGAGCCUUCUCGGCGCCUCUCGUAGGCGUUUCGAAAAUGAAUCAAAACUUUCAACAACGGAUCUCUUGGUUCUGGCAUCGAUGAAGAACGCAGCGAAAUGCGAUAAGUAAUGUGAAUUGCAGAAUUCAGUGAAUCAUCGAAUCUUUGAACGCACAUUGCGCCCGCCAGUAUUCUGGCGGGCAUGCCUGUCCGAGCGUCAUUUCAACCCUCGAACCCCUCCGGGGGGUCGGCGUUGGGGAUCGGCCCUGCCUCUUGGCGGUGGCCGUCUCCGAAAUACAGUGGCGGUCUCGCCGCAGCCUCUCCUGCGCAGUAGUUUGCACACUCGCAUCGGGAGCGCGGCGCGUCCACAGCCGUUAAACACCCAACUUCUGAAAUGUUGACCUCGGAUCAGGUAGGAAUACCCGCUGAACUUAAGCAUAUCAAUAAGCGGAGGAA